UACGUAGGGUGCGAGCGUUAAUCGGAAUUACUGGGCGUAAAGCGUGCGCAGGCGGUUCGUUAUGUCCGAUGUGAAAGCCCCGAGCUCAACUUGGGAAUGGCAUUGGAAACUGGCGGGCUGGAGUGUGGCAGAGGGGGGUGGAAAUUCCACGUGUAGCAGUGAAAUGCGUAGAGAUGUGGAGGAACACCGAUGGCGAAGGCAGCCCCCUGGGCCAACACUGACGCUCAGGCACGAAAGCGUGGGGAGCAAACAGG
rnacentral:rRNA from 1 species